AUCCAUCCUUACUCUGUAACCUGUAAACUGCAGCUUUUGUCUGCCCUGCUGGCUUCCACUUCUCUUUAGCCUGCUCUCCAAACCAGUCUCCUUUAGUGAGCGUCUUCACGAUCACCUGCUCGUCCCCAGGCGCCCCUAGCAUUCGCCCAUGCUGCCUUUGCCACGGGCCGGCCGUGCAUGCAUCAGGAAAACGUUCCAGGGGCGGGAGUGAGACGGGAAGAAACUCGUACGAAGAGUCCAGGGUCAGACCUUGAUUCGUUCUUGCAUGUGAUGGAAGAACUGACUUGAUUUCUUUAGUGCUUCUAAAGGUUUUCUCUCUUUCUCUUUCACUCACUGGGAUGACAUUGAACGCAACAAGGACAGUCGCUGAGGCAGGCACACAGAGGAGAGAAAAGAGCUCCACAGAUCAAGCGGCAUCGAGGAAGACUUUUGGACGAAUGGGAAUUUAUUAAUCAGAACAGAGAACUACACUGUGCAGGGGUGAUGUCUGUGGCCAGCCCCCAGUUUCCAUUAGUUAUU